UGCGUCUCGCCUGAUAAAACUGUAUUGAGCCAGGAAGGCAGCUUUUGGUCCAGAUUUGGAGAAGUUGCUGAAAAGACUUGAUGAGACAACAGACAUUGUGCGUCAUCGAAGGACCGCAGCACUGAGAGGCCUUCCCAUUUUUGUUCGAGACAAUGCAUCAGACUUCUUUCUGAAGUGCUUGAACACAGACCCUGAGGAAGAGGUGGUUGAAGAAGUGCCAGUUGCAAUACUUACCGUCUAUGAAGAUGAUGAUGGUGCCGCAUCACCACCAACAGUGAUCGAAAUCGAUGUCGUCUUGGAAGGGACAGUGAUACAACACAACCUACCUGACCUCGCUGCUGCCUUCACCUACCUGUUUGGCCUAAUGUAUGCAAUGGACAUAAGCUAUCCGGAGAAGAUGAGGUACACUUUUGAGGCCAUCCAGACCAUCUUUUUCGAGCUUGGUUCAACAUGUUCACAGGGCACACAUUCCUUGAAAGACAAGCUUUUGCUGUGAAGCCUGAUUACGGUCACACGCACAUAAACACGCAUGCACGCAC